GGCCGAGGUCUGUGCAGAUGGUCCCUGCAGGCCAGGGUGGAGCAGAGGCUGGAACCCCGCGCCCCCGUCUCUGAUCUGCACGGGCUGGGGACGGCCUGCGGACCGGAGCGGUGUAAAAGUUCCAGUAGGAACCAAGGCAUUUAACAGUGUUGACAUGACGUAUGUCUGUAAUUAUACCUGCAUUUGUCUUCUUGAAAGACUAAGACCCUCCAGCCUGUGGAAUUUCCUUCACUCAUCACCUAUCCUGUGUCAAUUUAUGAAAACAAAAGCUGUACUUUAUCCAGGCUGGGCUAGAAUUCUGGCUCCAGCUUAUAGCUGAAAGUGGGUGAGGUUCUAAGCACAAGAGGUCAGUGUGUGUAAAUCUUUGGUAUUGAUUGGAAGUGAUGUUUUUUGAAGUCACCAAUUAGCUGCCAGCACUUUACUUACCUUCAUUUUCUCCUUGAAUCUUCACCACUCUCCUGUGUUUAGGUAGUUGUAAACAUGAUGGCAACAUAGAGAUAGUAAAAUUGAACCAGGUAGGCCUAUAAAAGAUCGCCGUGAUGAAGAUAGGUUUUCCUAUGGAAAUUAAUUCUGCCCUCAAGCAAUGUAUUUAUUGGAGAUUAAGACUGGCAAGAACAAAAGCAUCAAUUUGACAGAACAAAAGAGAAAUUUAUGAUACCAACUGAGACAUGUCCAUGGAAAGUAGAUGAGGAUAAUUUGAAUCAAGUCCACAGAGAAGUUUUCUUUAUCUCAUUUUGUACAAUUCUGUGGUGUUUCCAAGUCAUUUAAUAUUUACAGAUGCUUUCACAUUACAGAAUUAUCAAAUCUGUUUUGCCUUUAUUUCCUUUCCAGUUGUCCUAAUGGACUGACACAAUUAGAACUGCCCAGACUUGGAGACCCUUGUCCUAUCUAAGCUAACUUAUUUUCUUUGCAUUUAUUGUUCUGAAUAUGUUUUAAUGGUGUGUCUAAAAUUACUUUUUUUUUUCUUGGUGUAAAAGAGUGCCAAUCCAUAGAGUUUUGUGUCGUGUGUAAUGUUUUUCCUGAUUCACUUGAAUAAUUAUGGUUUGGCUUUUAUAUAUAACCUGGAUAUUCAUCUUACUUUGGAGUUCCAGAGAUUUUUUCCCCCCAAGGGUCCUUAGAUAGGAGGGAAAGUACAGGAUCUGGAGUUAGCCGGGCAGACCCAAGUCCAAAGCUCAGGUACCCUGGAUAGAUUCAGUUUCUCUGUGGGGUUAAUGAGGGCUCUGAUGUAAUAUGUGAAAUCUGUGUGUGUGUUCAUCUGAGCCAGGACCCACAGCUGGCAGCCUGUGCUCAGUAACCUUGUGAACUAUAUUAUAACCUUGUCAGCUGUAUUUUAAGCAUCCUGUUUUUAAAUUUUUAAUGAAAAUAAUUACACAUAGUUGUUAAAAAAAAGGAAAGUCAAUGAGUGCAGAAGGCCUUAUAAAUGAAAAGGAGUAAGACACACCACCCCACCACCCCUUUCCACAGACCUGUUCCCCAAUGGAAUCAAUUCUGAAUUGUUUCUGGUAUUGACUCUUGGUAUUUACCUCCUUUUCUCUAGCUAACAUGCAGGUGCAUUUUUAUCCAUUUUAGACAUGGACUUUUGCUGGUAAGGAUUUAGUUUACUUAAACCACAGUCCCAGCUCUCCCAAUAUAGUUAUGCAAUCACUUUUCAGAUCCUCUGUUGGCUUCUUUUGUAAUUGUAUAGAUUAUACUUGCAAAUGAGUUUCUUGUUCAUCAUUUGUAGGUUCUAUUAGUUGAGGAUUUCCCCCACUUUGCUAGAUUGAUGAUAUCAGUAUCUCUACUCUUCUCCUUUCUUUGCUCUCCCAUUUACCUCCUAAUUCAGUCACUAUACUAUUAAAAGGUAUGAGUGUUCCUUUUAGUUAUACCUUAGGUAGAUUUCCCUAUUCGUCGUGCUGCCCUGUUAGAAAAUGUUUGAUGGUUCUCUUAAAAAAAAAAAUUAAUUAGUAAGUGGCACAAAAUUAGUUUUAUCUAAAGGCAGAAAUUGGAUUACAAUUGGACUCUCCAAAUUCUACAAUCAGAUUUAAAUACAAAAGUUAGUGUUACUAUUUUCCACAGGGAGACAGUGUAAUCAUUUGUUAAAGAUUUCAUUAUAGUAGCUGCCCCUUUUUAAGUGUGUUUCUUUUUUUUCUUAAUACAUUUUAUUGAUUUUUUACAGAGAGGAAGGGAGAGGGAUAGAGAGUCAGAAACAUCGAUGAGAGAGAAACAUCGAUCAGCUGCCUCCUGCACACUCCCCACAUGCCUUGACCAGAACCAAACCUGGGACCCUUGAGUCCGCAGGCCGACACUCUAUCCACUGAGCCAAACUGGUUAGGCUAAGUGUGUUUCUUUAUUUAACAUGAACAUCCGAAUAAGUACUUAGGGAAUCUCACUGUUCUAACUUUGUAUUACAAAAUGUAUCGUUCUUAUUGGUACUGUUACCUAUAUCUAUAUUAUAGAUAUCUAAUUACCUAUAUCUAAAAUUAUUUCAGUGACUUAAUUCUUUGUUAAAGUAUGAUUUUGCCAUUUAAAAAAUUAAAUUGAAGCAGGGGAAUUUUGUUCUUUUUAAUUCAUUUUCUGAAGGAAAAAACUAAAUUGCCCUAUGUCAGUAAAAACAAAUGUGCUUAAAAAUAAAUUGGAGAAGAAUAUCGCUCUUGUAAGUUCAUCUCUAUUUGAAAAUAAAAGAAGCUACUUUGUAAUUGGAACAAUGAAAAUAAACUCAAAUAUAUGUGCCAGUCAUCAUUCAGUCUCAGGGUUAGAGGGAGCUUUAAAGGUAGAAGCCACCUCUGACUUCCUCACAGGUGGUUAAGCCAUCCAGCCUGGCCUGAGUCCUUGCAUCUUAGAGCAGCGGUUCUCAAACUGUGGGCCGUGACCCCUUUGGGGGUCGAACGACCCUUUCUCAGGGGUCGCCUAAGACCAUCGGAAAACA